AUGUAGCCACAAGCUCAGGAGCGCUGGCAGCCACCAGAGGUGGGAAGAGACAGGAAGGACACCCCCCCACCACCACCACCGCCCGGAGCCUUCAGAGGGAGCGCCACCCUGCCCACAUUAAGAUUUUGGACUUCUGGCCUCCAGACUAUGUGAGGAUAUAUUUCUGUUGUAGGCCGCCCAGUCCGUGGUGCUCCGUGACGGCAGCGCCAGCACCCCGGCAGACUAGCCUGGUGGGGACUCCAAUGCAGGGAGCUGUUUAGACAGCCUGGCUCAUCCCCAGACCCACUGUAAGGAGCCUGCAUUUUCACAGGAUCCCCCUGGGCUUCCCACUGAAGUUUGAGAAGAUGGCCCUGCAACCUGUUUUGAGCAAGUGACUUUUCAAAAACCAUUGAACGGACACAACUAGUAACCGGGAGACAACUUUAGAAAUCCUCUAGCUCAUUACCCGUCACACGGUCAACUCUCAAAUAAAGCUUAUUUAGAGAAAGUUUGUUGUUAUGAAUGAAAUGGAGUAACAUCAGGAACAAAGGAAGAGCUAAUCAAGCAGCUCUCCAGAACAAGAGAUCCUCAUGAUGACUUGGGGCCCACCUGGGUCAUCUGCAGGAGGCCUCUGCCAUAUAAGUUCAAGCCACCUGCUGCCAGAAGCCCCCCCGGAUCUCCAGGCUGCACACUGGACACGUCUCUUCCUGCUCAGGUCCGGGCUGCUGAGCCCCCCAUCCCACUCACAUGCACCUGCAGCCUCCACCCCAACCACUGAGUUCAGAGUGGUGACCCUGCAUCUCACGGUUGGAUAUCCCACAGCAGGAACAGAAUCACUGUUGGAUGACAACAUGUCAUCAGAUAAAGGCAAGUCCUGCUUCUCUGGUGGGGAGGAUACAUUUCAAAUCCAGUGUCUUAAGGAGCAGAGUAUUUGCAACUAGAACCCCCAGGGGCACUGGGACGGGGCUUCAGUCCCAGCAGAGUACAGGGGCAGCCCGGCCGCCAAUAGAAACAAUGUCAUUAAAAGACACGUUGCAGAUCCGUGGGCCUACGAGAGGUACAGUGGUUUAGAUUUAGAAUAAUGGUAGAGAAGAGUUGCUAACGUAUCUGCCAGCCGGUUGUGCAUGAAGAUUCUGGGGGCCCUUGCUUCCUGUUCAGAUCCAGGAACCAGCCCUCCGUGUUCCUUGUCGAAUGCACCGAUCCUGGGGAGUUUCAUGCCUCCGACAGCAAGAAAAAGGCAGUGACACUGUUCUCACCCACAAGGCCGUGGCUCCUCGGAGUCUGUCUGCACUGAGACCUUUCUCGUCUGCAGUCGCCCAAGACCGGUCCCAUGAGGACCCGUGAUGGUGCGUCACCCACCUGACUCCCCUCCCCAGUGGUCCUGGCUCCAGGACUCUCUCAGAGGUUGUCACUCUGCUCUGUGAAUGAUACUCAUGUGGACAUCUGCCAGAGGAGGCACAAAACGAUGAAUGACAGCUUGUUUUCUGCUCGUGUUGAUUUUGCCAUUCUGAACUUCACAACGCGGACAGAGAGCCAUCUCGUCUCUGUCGGUGUCUCCUGAAGGAUUUGGGCUCCAUCUCUUUCACCGCUGACCGCACCUCUGCCUCCCGCACACUGCCACCGACAGGGACGAUGGCCGAGGAGCCGUGGGUAGAACAAGAAGAGGGGUCCCUUUCACACAAGGAGGGGCUGUCCCUCGGCAGCAUGGUCUGCGACUCACCUGGAAGAGCACGGGUUCAGAGUAUUGAUCAGGGGCAUUGGAAGGACCAUGGGUGUGUGGGACAAUGAACCAUCUGGAAAGCCCUUGGAGGAGGUGGGGUGGCCCUGGGCAGGACCCUCUGACAGGUGAUGCUGUAGACCAGAGAUGGCACCAGUCGGAAUGUGCUCAGGCGAAAGCUAACGUGUGGUCCCCACACAGCUCAAGCCCAAGGGCUGGCAGUGGACCAUCAGUAACCUGGAGUCCUCCACUAGUUUAGUGUCCGACAUGAAUGGGAGUCACCCCAAAACCAACACAUCAGCCUGCAAGAGAAAUACUAAGCUGGCCAUGAAGCCCCAGAACGAUCCCAUAGACUCAGGCCUGGAACUCCUUGGGGCAGCUGGUCAACCCCACGUGCCAGCUAGAAGGUUGGAUAGCACCCAGAGGGGGUAAACAGAGGCCAGGCCCCACACAGGACGCUGUCCAGGACUGAGGUACCCCAGCCAGAUGCCAGGACGCUCCUCCACCCCUUCCCUGCUGGCGAGGUCAGUUCCAGCCCUGGUGGGUGACUUAGAAAAAUGCAGAAGGGAGCAGUAAGAAGCGCAGGCCCCGCGAGGCAGGGGCCCCCUUGGCCCCAAGGCUCUAAGGACGGUACCGACCCUGGGCCUCCAUGCCCUCAUCUGUCACUGGGAGUAAUAAAACCACCGGACCGUGUCAGGCGCAGGUCAGCUAAGAUUCUGAAUGCCAAAGAAGCCCACCAAUGCUCAGGCAUGCUAUCGACGGGAGAUGUUAUUACUCGGACAGUGUUUCAGCUUGUACACACAGAGGGGUGUGAACAUCCAUUCUGGAAAAUCACUAGGACAACAUAGAGUAAAAAAAAAGCCAACCCAACAGCUCUUCUGAUAAGCACAGACCAGCAGUGGGAAGUGGAAAAAUAAAAAUCUCUUUCUUAGAAUCCUAAAAUUUGUUUCUUUGGUGUUGCUGGGGAUUGCACCACAUUUCCUCGAAGUUCUUUCCUGGAGCUUUCGUUGCAGAGUGGGGGUGGGUUUGUUUCCUGCAGGAGAAGAGUGAUUGGGAUCAAUGUGAGCUCUCAGGUGCCUGGGGAAGAGGAGGCAGGAGGCAGGAGACGUGUGGGGAGGAAGGAGCUGCAGCCCUGAGCAUUCACAUGGGGAGGUGGGGGGCGGG
rnacentral:lncRNA from 1 species